rnacentral:rRNA from 1 species
UAUGGGCGUCGACCGGCGCACGGGUGAGUAACACGUAUCCAACCUGCCGAUAACUCGGGGAUAGCCUUUCGAAAGAAAGAUUAAUACCCGAUGGUAUAAUCAGACCGCAUGGUUUGAUUAUUAAAGAAUUUCGGUUAUCGAUGGGGAUGCGUUCCAUUAGGCAGUUGGUGAGGUAACGGCCCACCAAGCCUUCGAUGGAUAGGGGUUCUGAGAGGAAGGUCCCCCACAUUGGAACUGAGACACGGUCCAA